UAGGAGGAGUCAGGUUGGCAAACCCGCCUGGCAAUCCAAAGACGUGAUGCGCAGCGAACUAAAGUAGCGAAGUGUGUGAUUCCGGCUGUCAAGAAAAGCCGCUAUUGUGUGAUACAUGCCCGUACCGUAAACCGACACAGGUAGAUGAGGAGAGAAUCCUAAGGCCGGCGGGAGAAGCAUUGUUAAGGAACUCGGCAAAAUGACCCCGUAACUUCGGGAGAAGGGGUGCCACAGAGAUGUGGCCGCAGAGAAUAGGCUCAAGCAACUGUUUAGCAAAAACACAGGUCUAUGCAAAACCGUAAGGUGAGGUAUAUGGGCUGACGCCUGCCCGGUGCUGGAAGGUUAAGAGGAGAGGUUAGCGCAAGCGAAGCUUUGAAUUUAAGCCCCAGUAAACGGCGGCCGUAACUAUAACGGUCCUAAGGUAGCGAAAUUCCUUGUCGGGUAAGUUCCGACCCGCACGAAAGGCGUAAUGAUUUGAGCGCUGUCUCAACAAUGCACCCGGUGAAAUUGAAAUACCAGUGAAGAUGCUGGUUACCUGCGCCAGGACGGAAAGACCCCAUGGAGCUUUACUCCAGUUUGAUACUGGGAUUCGGUAUUGCAUGUACAGGAUAGGUGGGAGGCUUUGAAACAUGGACGCCAGUCUGUGUGGAGCCAAUGUUGGGAUACCACCCUUGCGAUAUUGGGUUUCUAACCUGCGCCCGUGACCCGGGCGGGGGACAAUGUCAGGCGGGGAGUUUGACUGGGGCGGUCGCCUCCGAAAGGGUAUCGGAGGCGCUCAAAGGUUCCCUCAGGAUGGUUGGAAACCAUCCAAAGAGUGCAAAGGCAUAAGGGAGCUUGACUGCGACACCGACGGGUGGAGCAGGUACGAAAGUAGGACUUAGUGAUCCGGUGGUAUGAAAGUGGGAUUGCCAUCGCUCAACGGAUAAAAGCUACCCUGGGGAUAACAGGCUUAUCACUCCCAAGAGUUCACAUCGACGGAGUGGUUUGGCACCUCGAUGUCGGCUCAUCGCAUCCUGGGGCUGUAGCAGGUCCCAAGGGUUGGGCUGUUCGCCCAUUAAAGCGGUACGCGAGCUGGGUUCAGAACGUCGUGAGACAGUUCGGUCCCUAUCCGGCGCGGGCGUAGGAUAUCUGAGAGGAGCUGUCCUUAGUACGAGAGGACCGGGAUGGACAGACCGCUGGUGUACCUGUUGGCCUACCAAGGCCAUGGCAGGGUAGCCAAGUCUGGACGGGAUAAACGCUGAAGGCAUCUAAGCGUGAAGCCCCCCUCAAGAUGAGAUAUCCCAUCGCGAAAGCGAGUAAGACCCCUUGAAGACGACGAGGUAGAUAGGUUAGAGGUGGAAGUGCAGUAAUGUACGGAGCUGACUAAUACUAAUCGGUCGAGGGCUUAUCCA
rnacentral:rRNA from 1 species